rnacentral:rRNA from 1 species
CCUACGGGUGGCAGCAGUGGGGAAUAUUGGACAAUGGGGGGAACCCUGAUCCAGCGACGCCGCGUGAGUGAAGAAGUAUUUCGGUAUGUACAGCUCUAUCAUCAGGGAAGACAGGAAUGACGGUACCUGACUAAUAAGCCCCGGCUAACUACGUGCCAUCAGCCGCGGUAAUACGUAGGGGGCAAGCGUUAUCCGGAUUUACUGGGGGUAAAGGGAGCGUAGACGGUUACGCAAGUCUGGAGUGAAAGGCGGGGGCCCAACCCCCGGACUGCUUUGGAAACUGUAUAACUGGAGUGCAGGAGAGGUAAGUGGAAUUCCUAGUGUAGCGGUGAAAUGCGUAGAUAUUAGGAGGAACACCAGUGGCGAAGGCGGAUUACUGGACUGUAACUGACGUUGAGGCUCGAAAGCGUGGGGAGCAAACAGGAUUAGAUACCCCUGUAGUC